CGAAGGGGCUAGCGUUGUUCGGAAUCACUGGGCGUAAAGCGCACGUAGGCGGAUCUUUAAGUCAGGGGUGAAAUCCCGAGGCUCAACCUCGGAACUGCCUUUGAUACUGGGGAUCUCGAGUCCGGAAGAGGUAAGUGGAACUGCGAGUGUAGAGGUGAAAUUCGUAGAUAUUCGCAAGAACACCAGUGGCGAAGGCGGCUUACUGGUCCGGAACUGACGCUGAGGUGCGAAAGCGUGGGGAGCAAACAGGAUU
rnacentral:rRNA from 1 species